CAAAAUUUCAGAUGUUCCUCCUAAGCUGUCUGAUAAAUGCUUUCCUGAUGAUCCUGCAGUUGUUGCACAUUUUUUGGUCCUAUCUAAUCCUCCAGAUGGUCUUUGGUGUCAUCCUCCACGGUGCGAAAAGAAAAGACGCAAGAAGUGACACCGAGGAAAGUGACAGGAGUGAAGCAGAAGAUCUGGCAAAGAGCAAAGAGUAAUGUGGGGCUCAUUGCAAAAUACAAAAGCCAGACAGACUCUCAAAAGCAGGAAGGCAGAACAGGACCACGGAGGGAGAGACCAGACAGGCUCACAGAUCCCUUUGCAGCGGUAUAUCUGAGGCAUCAUCCAACAUCUAGAAGAAAGAAAAUUUCAUCAUAGAGUUUCCAGGCAACAAGUAACUUCAGGAGAUGUUUUCUUCACCUCUCCUGUUGGGAACAUCACUUUACUAACACUCUAUCCAGAAAAAAAAAUUGUCAAUCAGCCACACUCUCACUAAAAACAGGGUAAGAGGGAUUAAACAAUCUGCUGAAGUUAUAACACUUAGCUGUGGUUAUCUCAAAACCUUCCAAAAGGUUCAUAAAAUAAUCAAUUACAACUGCUGAACAUUUAUCUGAACCACAAUUUCAGAAUAUGUUGGCAGUCAGUGCUAACCACCUUAUGAAAAAAAGUUGCAUGUAAAAACCACUUGUUUUAACUGCCAAAUAAGCUUCUAGUUGUAGAGUCCAAAACUGUCAGGUUUGGGGGCAAGGAUAGACCAUUUCCACACAUAAAGCCUGGCCAAGUGAGACAAGCUGUAGUUUGCUGCGUGAAUUAUACAAAAUAGCUCAUGCAUCUAAAAGGUUUUGCUAACUGAAUGUGUACUUAGAGAAAAUGGUCAUAAAAUGGUCAUUGAAAGCAACUGAAAUUCUUCUGAAGGCACACUUUUCUACUAGUCUAAAUGGAAACUUUCCAUAGGGAUGUAUUAAUGUUGUUGAGGUUUCAUUUUUAAAAUCUGAAAAUAAGUGCUACAAUGCAAACAUUUUAAUGGGAUAUUUUAAGGGUUUUCUCUAUUUUGGAUGACUAUUCACUUUGUAAUAUAUUGUAUCUGAUGUCAUUUUCAGAAUUUAUAGUAUAACAUUGGAUUUAAAGUUUAUGUAGAAAUGAAUUAUUACACCUAAACAAGCCCAUUUUACCUUGAUUUUGCAUGAUGCAGAUUUUUUUAUCAUCAUUUUUUGAAAUAUCAAUAAUGUCAGCUCUUGUGUCAAUCAGCAAAUCUUUGAAACCUGCUAGAGGUCUGAUAUCACUGAUAAUUCAAAGGCCCAAAAACUACAGACAGACAAUAUAUCAUCAUAUACGUUUGUCUACAAGCAAUAUAUAGAAACCUACAAAUGCUGUCCUUAAAAGCUGUUUUCUACAUAGGCUUUGAAUAUGCUUCUAAGGGGUCUGAUAUAUUUUGCAUAAACAUUAGGGAAAAUUAAACCAUUUUAGAGAACUGCAAAGAGGUGGGGAAUGAAGGAUGGUGUCCCCAGAACACUUUAUCAUUAAGAACCGUGGUCUACCUCCCAGAUCUGACCCAUCAAAGAAAAACAUAAACAAUUCAGGAAAGAUAUGUGAGAGAAAGGCAGAAGGAACUGGAGCCAACAUGCUCUUGUCCUGCUGUUUCCUACAGCAGUGCUAAAUCCUUAGUCCUGCCCAUCAAUCCCCUCUUCUUCAUAAGCGAUCUUUAAUUCAGGGUAUAUGCAGGUCAUAUACUCCUACAUAUUUUUUUUUUAUUUUUUUAUAUCUGAUGCCAUGACUUUCCUGUCUCUCCCAACUGUUCAAAGGACAGAAAACUAGAGAAGUUAGAGGACACAGCAGCCUUUUGUGUAACAUCAACGCUGAGGCAUUUGUGUACUCGUGUGUACACUGACCACUAUUUCCAGUAACAACCUGCAAACUACAUGUAGUUGCAAAGGUUUCACUGGCUUUUGCUUCAAGAUAAUUGCCAAGUAGAAAACAGAACAGCUAGGAA
rnacentral:lncRNA from 1 species